GUUGCUUGCUUAGGCAACACAUACCCUCCAAGUGGAAUGAUACAUAUGUACUAAGUUUAGCAUAGCCCCUGCACAAGGAUGACAUGCAAAUUAAUGAAGCAUUCCGUAUUUUU
ensembl:snRNA U6 U6 spliceosomal RNA